rnacentral:rRNA from 1 species
GCUUAACACAUGCAAGUCGAACGGAAAGGCCCUGCUUUUGUGGGGUGCUCGAGUGGCGAACGGGUGAGUAACACGUGAGUAACCUGCCCUUGACUUUGGGAUAACUUCAGGAAACUGGGGCUAAUACCGGAUAGGAGCUCCUGCUGCAUGGUGGGGGUUGGAAAGUUUCGGCGGUUGGGGAUGGACUCGCGGCUUAUCAGCUUGUUGGUGGGGUAGUGGCUUACCAAGGCUUUGACGGGUAGCCGGCCUGAGAGGGUGACCGGCCACAUUGGGACUGAGAUACGGCCCAGACUCCUACGGGAGGCAGCAGUGGGGAAUAUUGCACAAUGGGCGGAAGCCUGAUGCAGCAACGCCGCGUGCGGGAUGACGGCCUUCGGGUUGUAAACCGCUUUCGCCUGUGACGAAGCGUGAGUGACGGUAAUGGGUAAAGAAGCACCGGCUAACUACGUGCCAGCAGCCGCGGUGAUACGUAGGGUGCGAGCGUUGUCCGGAUUUAUUGGGCGUAAAGGGCUCGUAGGUGGUUGAUCGCGUCGGAAGUGUAAUCUUGGGGCUUAACCCUGAGCGUGCUUUCGAUACGGGUUGACUUGAGGAAGGUAGGGGAGAAUGGAAUUCCUGGUGGAGCGGUGGAAUGCGCAGAUAUCAGGAGGAACACCAGUGGCGAAGGCGGUUCUCUGGGCCUUUCCUGACGCUGAGGAGCGAAAGCGUGGGGAGCGAACAGGCUUAGAUACCCUGGUAGUCCACGCUGUAAACGGUGGGUACUAGGUGUGGGGUCCAUUCCACGGGUUCCGUGCCGUAGCUAACGCUUUAAGUACCCCGCCUGGGGAGUACGGCCGCAAGGCUAAAACUCAAAGGAAUUGACGGGGCCCCGCACAAGCGGCGGAGCAUGCGGAUUAAUUCGAUGCAACGCGUAGAACCUUACCUGGGUUUGACAUGGAUCGGGAGUGCUCAGAGAUGGGUGUGCCUCUUUUGGGGUCGGUUCACAGGUGGUGCAUGGCUGUCGUCAGCUCGUGUCGUGAGAUGUUGGGUUAAGUCCCGCAACGAGCGCAACCCUUGUUCACUGUUGCCAGCACGUUAUGGUGGGGACUCAGUGGAGACCGCCGGGGUCAACUCGGAGGAAGGUGGGGAUGACGUCAAGUCAUCAUGCCCCUUAUGUCCAGGGCUUCACGCAUGCUACAAUGGCUGGUACAGAGAGUGGCGAGCCUGUGAGGGUGAGCGAAUCUCGGAAAGCCGGUCUCAGUUCGGAUUGGGGUCUGCAACUCGACCUCAUGAAGUCGGAGUCGCUAGUAAUCGCAGAUCAGCAACGCUGCGGUGAAUACGUUCCCGGGGCUUGUACACACCGCCCGUCAAGUCAUGAAAGUUGGUAACACCCGAAGCCGGUGGCCUAACCGUUGUGGGGGAGCCGUCGAAGGUGGGACUGGUGAUUAGGACUAAGA